rnacentral:rRNA from 1 species
UACGGAGGGUGCAAGCGUUGUCCGGAGUUACUGGGCGUAAAGCGCGCGCAGGCGGCCCUGUGCGCUGCCGGUGAAAGCUCCCGGCUUACCUGGGAGAGGUUCGGCAGGACGGCAGGGCUGGAGGGUGGGAGAGGUCGGUGGAAUUCCCGGUGUAGUGGUGAAAUGCGUAGAGAUCGGGAGGAACACCCGUAGCGAAGGCGGCCGACUGGACCACACCUGACGCUGAGGCGCGAAGGCCAGGGGAGCGAACGGG